UCAAUAAGCGGAGGAAAAGAAACUAACAAGGAUUCCCCUAGUAACGGCGAGUGAAGCGGGAAGAGCUCAAAUUUGUAAUCUGGCGGCCCCCGGCCGUCCGAGUUGUAGUCUGGAGAAGCGUUUUCCGUACCGGACCGUGUACAAGUCCCUUGGAACAGGGCGUCGUAGAGGGUGAGAAUCCCGUCUUUGACACGGACUGCCGGUGCUCUGUGAUGCGCUCUYGAAGAGUCGAGUUGUUUGGGAAUGCAGCUCAAAACGGGUGGUAAAUUCCAUCUAAAGCUAAAUAUGGGCGAAAGACCGAUAGCGAACAAGUACCGUGAGGGAAAGAUGAAAAGCACUUUGGAAAGAGAGUUAAACAGUACGUGAAAUUGUUGAAAGGGAAACGCUUGAAGUCAGUCGCGUCUUCCGAGACUCAACCGGGCACUUYRCCCGGCGCACUUCUCGGUGUGACGGGCCAGCAUCGAUUUCGACCGUCGGAGAAAGGCCUUGGGAAUGUGGCACCUUCGGGUGUGUUAUAGCCCUCGGUCGUAUGCGACGGUCGGGAUCGAGGACCGCAGCGCGCCCUUCACCGGGCCGGGGUUCGCCCACGUAACGCGCUUAGGAUGC
rnacentral:rRNA from 1 species